GACGAACGCUGGCGGCGUGCUUAACACAUGCAAGUCGAACGGACAGGCCCUGCUUUUGUGGGGUGCUCGAGUGGCGAACGGGUGAGUAAAACGUGAGUAACCUGCCCUUGACUUAGGGAUAACUUCAGGAAACUGGGGCUAAUACCGGAUAGGAGCUCCUGCUGCAUGGUGGGGGUUGGAAAGUUUCGGCGGUUGGGGAUAGUCUCGCGGCUUAUCAGCUUGUUGGUGGGGUAGUGGCUUACCAAGGCUUUGACGGAUAGCCGGCCUGGGAGCGUGACCGGCGUCAAUGCGACUGAGGGAGGCACCAGUCGCGUACGGGAGGCAGUAGUGGAGAAUCUGGCACAAUGGGCGGAAGCCUGAGGCAGCGACGCCGGGUGCGGGAUGACGUCUUUCGGGGGGUAAACCGCUUUCGCAGGUGACGAAGCGUGAGUGACGGUAAUGGGUAAAGAAGCAACGGCUAACUACGUG
rnacentral:rRNA from 1 species